GCCAGUUUGGUCUAGUGGUUAAGGCACCAGGCUAGAAAGCUGGAGUCUAUAAGUUCAAGUCCUGUCUUAGGCA
rnacentral:tRNA from 1 species